GACGAACGCUGGCGGCGUGCUUAACACAUGCAAGUCGAACGGUGAACUCCGCUUGCGGGGGGAUCAGUGGCGAACGGGUGCGUAACACGUGGGCAACCUGCCCUCAGCUCUGGGAUAACUCCAAGAAAUUGGGGCUAAUACCGGAUAUGACCGCUGACCGCAUGGUCUGGUGGUGGAAAGAUUUAUCGGCUGGGGAUGGGCCCGCGGCCUAUCAGCUUGUUGGUGGGGUAGUGGCCUACCAAGGCGACGACGGGUAGCCGGCCUGAGAGGGUGACCGGCCACACUGGGACUGAGACACGGCCCAGACUCCUACGGGAGGCAGCAGUGGGGAAUAUUGCGCAAUGGGCGAAAGCCUGACGCAGCGACGCCGCGUGGGGAUGACGGCCUUCGGGUUGUAAACCUCUUUCAGCAGGGACGAAGCGAAAGUGACGGUACCUGCAGAAGAAGCACCGGCCAACUACGCG
rnacentral:rRNA from 1 species